GCGGUCUGUUAAGUCAGAUGUGAAAUCCCCGGGCUUAACCUGGGAACUGCAUUUGAAACUGGCAGGCUAGAGUCUCGUAGAGGGGGGUAGAAUUCCAGGUGUAGCGGUGAAAUGCGUAGAGAUCUGGAGGAAUACCGGUGGCGAAGGCGGCCCCCUGGACGAAGACUGACGCUCAGGUACGAAAGCGUGGGGAGCAAACAGGAUUAGAUACCCUGGUAGUCCACGCUGUAAACGAUGUCGAUUUGAAGGUUGUGGUCUUGAGCCGUGGCUUUCGGAGCUAACGCGUUAAAUCGACCGCCUGGGGAGUACGGCCGCAAGGUUAAAACUCAAAUGAAUUGACGGGGGCCCGCACAAGCGGUGGAGCAUGUGGUUUAAUUCGAUGCAACGCGAAGAACCUUACCUACUCUUGACAUCCAGAGAACUGAGCAGAGAUGCUUAGGUGCCUUCGGGAACUGUGAGACAGGUGCUGCAUGGCUGUCGUCAGCUCGUGUUGUGAAAUGUUGGGUUAAGUCCCGCAACGAGCGCAACCCUUAUCCUUUGUUGCCAGCGAUUCGGUCGGGAACUCAAAGGAGACUGCCGGUGAUAAACCGGAGGAAGGUGGGGAUGACGUCAAGUCAUCAUGGCCCUUACGAGUAGGGCUACACACGUGCUACAAUGGCGCAUACAAAGAGAAGCGAUCUCGCGAGAGUCAGCGGACCUCAUAAAGUGCGUCGUAGUCCGGAUUGGAGUCUGCAACUCGACUCCAUGAAGUCGGAAUCGCUAGUAAUCGUGGAUCAGAAUGCCACGGUGAAUACGUUCUCGGGCCUUGUACACACCGCCCGUCACACCAUGGGAGUGGGUUGCAAAAGAAGUAGGUAGCUUAACCUUAGGGAGGGCGUUUACCACUUUGUGAUUCAUGACUGGGGUGAAGUCGUAACAAGGUAACC
rnacentral:rRNA from 1 species